AAAGGUUGACCUCGGAUCAGGUAGGAAUACCCGCUGAACUUAAGCAUAUCAAUAAGCGGAGGAAAU
rnacentral:rRNA from 1 species